UACGAAGGGGGCUAGCGUUGUUCGGAGUUACUGGGCGUAAAGGGCGCGUAGGCGGUGUGUCAAGUCAGGCGUGAAAGCCCCGGGCUCAACCUGGGAACCGCGCUUGAGACUGGCACGCUCGAGUUCGGGAAAGGAUGGUGGAAUUCCCAGUGUAGAGGUGAAAUUCGUAGAUAUUGGGAAGAACACCGAUGGCGAAGGCAGCCAUCUGGACCGACACUGACGCUGAGGCGCGAAAGCGUGGGGAGCAAACAGG
rnacentral:rRNA from 1 species